rnacentral:rRNA from 1 species
UACAGAGGGGGCAAGCGUUGUUCGGAAUUACUGGGCGUAAAGGGCGCGUAGGCGGCACAGCAAGUCGGGAGUGAAAGCCCGGGGCUCAACCCCGGAAUGGCUUUCGAAACUGCUGAGCUAGAGUACAGAAGGGGCAACCGGAAUUCCCAGUGUAGCGGUGAAAUGCGUAGAUAUUGGGAAGAACACCUGAGGCGAAGGCGGGUUGCUGGGCUGAUACUGACGCUGAGGCGCGAAAGCCAGGGGAGCAAACGGG